rnacentral:rRNA from 1 species
CUGUGGAAGCUCAAAAUACCUCUAAGAGUGAAGAUUUUUCUCUGGUUUCUUAAUAGAGGGGUCAUAUUAACUAGGGAUAACUUGGCACGGCGCAACUGGUAAGGAAGCAAAAAAUGUGUCUUCUGUCAGCACGACGAGUCUAUUAAACAUUUAUUUUUUGAGUGCAAGUUUGCUCGGUCUAUGUGGCCUGUUGUUCAAAUAGCUUCAAAUCUUUACCCACCACGUAGUGCACGGAAUAUAUUCGGCAAUUGGUUGAGGGGUAUUCAAAAACAAUUUUCUGCACACAUUUAG